rnacentral:rRNA from 1 species
CCGGCCAUGUCUAAGUAUAGCAUUAUACGGCGAAACUGCGAAUGGCUCAUUAAAUCAGUUAUCGUUUAUUUGAUAGUACCUUACUACUUGGAUAACCGUGGUAAUUCUAGAGCUAAUACAUGCUUAAAACCCCGACUCACGAAGGGGUGUAUUUAUUAGAUUAAAAACCAAUGCCCUUCGGGGCUCUUUGGUGAUUCAUAAUAACUUUUCGAAUCGCAUGGCCUUGCGCCGGCGAUGGUUCAUUCAAAUUUCUGCCCUAUCAACUUUCGAUGGCAGGGUCUUGGCCUGCCAUGGUGACAACGGGUAACGGAGGGUUAGGGCUCGACCCCGGAGAAGGAGCCUGAGAAACGGCUACUACAUCCAAGGAAGGCAGCAGGCGCGCAAAUUACCCAAUCCCGACUCGGGGAGGUAGUGACAAUAAAUACUGAUACAGGGCUCUUUUGGGUCUUGUAAUUGGAAUGAGUACAAUUUAAAUCCCUUAACGAGGAACAAUUGGAGGGCAAGUCUGGUGCCAGCAGCCGCGGUAAUUCCAGCUCCAAUAGCGUAUAUUAAAGUUGUUGCAGUUAAAAAGCUCGUAGUUGAACCUUGGGCCUGGCUGGCCGGUCCGCCUCACCGCGUGCACUGGUUCGGCCGGGCCUUUCCCUCUGGGGAACCGCAUGCCCUUCACUGGGUGUGUCGGGGAACCAGGACUUUUACUGUGAAAAAAUUAGAGUGUUCAAAGCAGGCCUAUGCUCGAAUACAUUAGCAUGGAAUAAUAGAAUAGGACGUGUGGUUCUAUUUUGUUGGUUUCUAGGACCGCCGUAAUGAUUAAUAGGGACAGUCGGGGGCAUCAGUAUUCAAUUGUCAGAGGUGAAAUUCUUGGAUUUAUUGAAGACUAACUAUUGCGAAAGCAUUUGCCAAGGAUGUUUUCAUUAAUCAGGAACGAAAGUUAGGGGAUCGAAGACGAUCAGAUACCGUCGUAGUCUUAACCAUAAACUAUGCCGACUAGGGAUCGGGCGAUGUUAUUAUUUGACUCGCUCGGCACCUUACGAGAAAUCAAAGUCUUUGGGUCUGGGGGGAGUAUGCGAAGGUG